rnacentral:misc_RNA from 1 species
GAUGAAGAACGUAGCGAAAUGCGAUAAGUAAUGUGAAUUGCAGAAUUCAGUGAAUCAUCGAAUCUUUGAACGCACAUUGCGCCCUUUGGUAUUCCGAAGGGCAUGCCUGUUCGAGCGUCAUUAUCACCCCUCAAGCCCUCGGCUUGGUGUUGGACGGUUUGGUGGAGGCCCCCUCGGGGGCUCCUGCCCCUCCCAAAGACAAUGACGGCGGCCUCGUUGGACCCCGGUACACUGAGUUCUUCACGGGACACGUAUCGGACACAUGGGUUUACGGGACACGGUCUGCCUCCCCUCAGGGAGAAUCUUUCUAAGGUUGACCUCGGAUCAGGUAGGGAUACCCGCUGAACUUAAGCAUAUCAAUAAGCGGAGGA